AGACUGCACUGGUUUAAGUAAACUGGUUCAAAUGUGUAUAUGGAGAAGGUCUAGAAAGGGAAAAAUUAGGCUGAAAAAUUCAGUCUCUAGGUUGUGAAUAGUCUCCCAAAGAAGUUGUAGAAUUUCCCUUGCUUGGGACUUCUAAAACUAGACUGAAUGAAGCACUAGGAAAAGUGCUGUAGGGGACAAGCCUGGACUGGCCCCGGUGGAGAUGGACUGGAUGGUCUUUUCCAGCUCCAAAAUCUGGGGUUCUGUGAGUUUUAAAUGAAACAUGGGAUGUUUAACUUUCAUGUAGACAGUUCACCUGUGUCAUCUACAAAAAUAGCUAUCAAUGAAUGAGGUUAAGAAUUGCUAGUUCCUAACCUCCCAUACAUUUUUAGGCAUAUGUGCCACCUCCAUUCAGCAGUUCCAGGGCCAAACUCAGACCUACCAUAUGUAGCUGCUACUCCAGUGAGGUCAAUGGAAUUGCAGUUUAUAGAAUUGGAAGGGACCUCAGGUGGUCAUCUAGUCCAACCCCCUGCUCAAAGCAGGGCUAAUCUCCAGACACAUUUUUAUCCCAGUUCCCUAAAUGGCCUCCUCAAGGAUUGAGCUCACAAUCCUGGGUUUAGUAGGCCAAUGCUCAAACCACUGAGCUAUCCCUCUGCCCAGUUGCUUGUGGCAAGUCUGAAUUUGAUCCACUGUCUCCAACCUUGACAUUGGCUGUAAGGAGAUCCAAUUGCCAUCAUUGGCUUGGCAAUUUCACAAUAUCUUUCAAUUGGCUCUUUUUGGCAAUCAGAUGGCCAUUCCAGAUUAUAGAUGAAGUUUGUUUUAUUUUGUUUGGUGUCUUGGAAAUGGACUGUUUCCCUCUCAUUCCAGACCUGACAUGAAUCACAUGCAGAGGGAGAUGAUCAUCUGAUUUUCUUCUCCCUUCACAAUCCGUUUGAUAUGCAUCUGGGGGAAGUUCAGCCCAUUAUGGGAACAAUGCUAACAAGGUCUCCUUAACAGGUUCCCCAUGCAUCAUUUCCAGUUCACAUCAGAACUCUGGAUAAGACUGAAGCCCACACAACUCAGCAUAAACCCUAUAAGCUAGAGACGGGCCUGAACCAAAAUGCUGAAUACAAACCCCUUUGAAAUGUAGAGGGUGUUUGAAAUCAAGUUCUGAAUUUCCUGUGUGGUUCCCAGCAUUAACACCCUCUGAAUCUAAAUCCUGGAUGCCAACAGCCCUCAGCUUUGGAGUGUUGGGUGUUGUGGUUUAAAACCAUCUCUAUUAUGAGGAAACUGAGGCAGAGAGAAGUUAAGAGACUUGCCCAAGCUCACACAAGUCUGUGGAGCAGUUUGGGAUGGAAACCUGACAGCCCUAUCCAUUGGAUCAUGUUGCCUUUGCAAGGAAUUACAAAGCAUUUACAAGAAAUGCAAUUGACAAAACUAACUACAGAAAAUAACACUCAUUUAAUAAAUAUAUUUGACAGCCCCAGGCCCAGUUUCAGAAUUAUUACAAUAGUGCAUGGUGCUAGCAAGUGUGCCUUGCUCAGUCAGCUUAUAGCCUAGCUUGUCAUUUGGACAAGUUUGCCCAUUGUUAAUUGUGUUCUCUUCCUGAAAUUAUGAUGCAGCUCAUCUCAUCAUGCUUUGUAUACAGAUGGAGGAGUUUGGUGUGGGCUGGUGGUUGAUGCAAAGGGCAGGAAUGAAUGAAAAAGGACCUGGUUUCAAAGUCCAUCUGAACCACUUACUCAGCUGUUUAACCUCAAGGAAAGUCAUUUGACUUAUUUAUGCCCAAGUGAGCCUGGCUGCAAAUCCCACUGAAAACUAGAUGCUGUGUCUGAUUUGAGCCAACCUAAGAUAAUGGAAAAAGUUUACAAAGGAAAUAUAAUUCUACAGAUAAUUUCUGUGCAAUGGAAUUCUCUCAACCAAGUUAAUGUGGAUUUAUACCAGCAUUACUGAGAGCAGAAUUUGGCCUGAUGCUCUUACUGGAAACCCCAAUCUUCCCUUCCAUUCCUUUCCUUGUGUGCCAAGCAUCUUCAUUCAAGCCCUCCUUCCUUGCAGCCUACUGGCACUAAUCCAGGAUUGGGCUGCAAGGGUAUGUCGAUACUGCAGCUGGAAGCAAACUUCCCAACCUGGGUGGACAGACAAGUGCUAUCGCUGCUCUAGCUAGCAUGCUAAAAAUAGCAAUGUGGACAUUGAGGCAAGGGGCAUGCUCUAGCCAUCCGUGUAUGUACCCAGCUGAGUCAAUUGAUCUCUGAUAUUUUGUAUUAACAAAUUUAGGCAUUAAUUCUUUUGGAGAAGGUGGAACUUUUUAUUUGUAUGUUCCCUUCUUUCCAGCAUCCACCCCCUUUCUGAGAUUGUGGUCAGGUUGUGAACAUGGAUGAAGUAAACCUUAGUGAUUAAACUAACCUACUUAGAGCUCUCAUUAAAUAGGGGACAAGCAAAGUUACAUCUUUCUGAAUCACUACACUACAUUAAUACUUGCAUAUGUCAAACUAAAUCUACAGUUCUGUUGCUUGUUAUACCUUAAAGACUGUUGUUAUAGCUCAGUAUUAUCCCCCUGUAAUUAUAGUCUUAUGGAUUUUUCUAAACUGGGAUAUUAUCUGUGUGUUCCUCAGCAUAAUUCACUGAAGUUUAUUGCACUUAAUGUUCCUGUAAAUUGCUGAGAGAGCUUGUUAAAUAACCAUUAUAUCUUGGCUUUUGCAUGCUCAAACCUGGUUCUUUUCCUCUCUGGGUUAAGAACAGUAUGAUGGAUGCCUUUGUGUUGUUGCUGUUGCCAUAAAACUGGCCAGACCACAGAAUACAGCUUCAAAUAGCCUUGUUUAUUAAAAUAAUAUUAAAAAAAAAGACUUUCAGCUCACAUACCAGCUCAGCCCUGGCCACCCUAGCAUGACUGCUUGUCAGUUAAUCUCCUCUUGCUUCAAAUAUGCCCAUAAGAAGCUGUGUGCUGAGUAAGAAUGGAGCUAUGGUUUUCUUAGUGAAAUUACUUCCAGCCAAAUAGUAUUGCAAAAGCAUCUUAGGCUGUCCAGCCCUCAUUGAUACUUCCUUAUAAAAAUGCAACAUAAAUCUCCUCUUAAAUAUGUUUGUGUGAAGCACUAAAGACAGAUGGAGCCAUGAGUCACUGUACUCUUGGAUUAAUCCAUAACAGUUACCUUCAAAUCAUUAACUCCUGCUGCAGGCCUGUGUAUGUAAAAGCAUCAGGAUUGUAUUGUACCUCACAGAGAUAUCUACUUAUUCCCUUAAUCUACUCAGAAUAAUGAUCUCUUGUACAAGGAUCAACCCCAACCAAAUCCCUAACCUGGAGACUCCCGAGUUCUCUGAAAGUUUGGAACAGGAUUAGUGUUUUGUGGUUUGGUCCAUCUCCACUUAUAGGCCACUUCUGCAUACAAUGCACAACUAAUGAAGCAACACCUGUAUGGCCUUGAGGAUUAAUGUUGUGUACAUACACACGCACACAAACAUAGUCAAACCAACUGCAGGCAAUAAGAUUGGAUGAUCUGCUGAGUGGGCUUUGUGGGAAUUGCUCUGAGGGUUAAUUAACUUUAUUUAUACAGUUAAACUUUUUUUUCUACAAACAAUGCUAACAAAACUAAGAUCCUAUUUU